AGCAGCACUUGCUUUACCGAACAAUUAGAGGCCUGUUGCCACACCUGUGCUCUAGAAAGGCGACACCUACUUACAGUCUGUGUGUUUAGUGAACCGCUAUGCCUGGACACGGUAGGAGUCAUGUAACUUUUCUAAGGCGAGGUGAACAUUUAUUCACCUUUGAUGACAUACCAAAGGAUCAGUUCUACCCAGCUCCAGUCUGGGCUACCCACUGAACCUGAUCAGCGAACUUCUGUGAUCUUCCUGCUGCCCACCCUCCCAAGGCUGGCAUUACAGACAUGUGCCCCCAUUCCGAAGGGUUUUGCUUGUGUCCCAAGAAUUAGCAGAUACUCAAUGUUUGGGUAGCAGGCACCGCACCAGCUGAGCUGUCUCCCCCAUAGUUUUGUUGGUUUUCUGAGCCACCCUGAUACUUCCAAGAGAGAAAGGUCCAAUUCGGAAGAGACUGAUCUACAAUAAUAGUCUUUAUAUCUGCUUCCCCAGGAUAUCCAGUGUUUAGAAGAUAAUGGAAUUAGGGCUGUGAUGGAGAAGUUGUCCAGUUCUUCAAAAGGAGAAUCAAACUCCCUUCCUUGGUUCUCCCUUUCCACUUUCCUGAACAGGAACGCCAAAAGUGGCCUGCAAGCCAAGGAAAGUGAGGCCUGGAGAAGUUAAGCUUAUUUCACACAUCUGGAGACUGGGCAGGAAGGCCAGGAGUUGAAUACAGGUGCCUGCAGAGACCAGAAGAGUUGACGUUACAGGCAGCUGAGCUGCCUGAUGUGGGUGCUCGGCAUCGAACUCCAGAACUCUUAUCAACACCCAGAACUGCUUCUUUGGUGGUCGAUGAAGAAGACAUAUGUCAACAGUUGGACAGGUAGUUUGAUGACUCAUUCGGAUACUUCUGUGGUUCACAGGAGCCUUGAAACUAAAGGCUGAAAGGAUUAAGCAUAACCAAGCAAAAACACUACAACCUUUACAAACUUGAAAGCUGCCCGUGACAUCUGGGGGAACGCUGUUCAGUGAUUUAAGUUUCACUGUGGACUACCUUGAACAUAAGGACUAGUGCAUGAUUAUAACAAGCGCCUCACCUCCCUGGGAAAGGUGGGAGAGAGCCCAGGCAGCUAUGUGUUGGGUUGUGGUUCUGCCUUCUCAGAUGUCUACUCCACUGAGGGGGUGCAGUCAUGGCUGUACGGUAUAAACCAAGGUGAGGCUUCUGGUCCAGGUUGGGCCAGCCGGGGUAGCGCUUCCCAAGACUCUGGAAUGAAGUCAAAAGAUAAAGUCUGUGUUUCUUCAGGUGUCUGUACACUUGGAUUCUGUUGCUGGCCAUGUUGUCCAGUGUGUGUAAGUAGGAAGCUGGAGCUGGUUUAGGGAGAGAGAAGAGGGAACUGAGAGAGAUGGAGAGCUUCCUAGUUUCCAGCUAGCCUUCCACUUCCUGGCUCCAGUGGGCAUCUGGACUUCUGCCCUUAGGUUCUGUGAGACUUCCUCCUGGCUUUGUACCAAAUCUCGCGUUGCUAGCUUUACUUGCCUUUUAUAAGUCCAAUGGGAAGAAUCCUAACUGACAUGAGAUGGAUUUUUCCUUUCAAGUGUUUUGAUAAAAAUUUCGCAAUCAGAGACAAAAUGUGAGUGACUGUGGAAGAUCAGUUUAAGGCUACAGUUUUCUCAAGGGUCAUUAUUUUACACGUGACAAUGCAGUCCAGGACAUCCAUUCAAUGUCUGAAGCCAGAUCCCUCGAGUCGGUGAAUAAACUAUUGUUCUUCCUCUAAUAUGCAUUAAUGGGCUGAAAUAGUGUGUUUACUUUUUACAUGUGCACCUCUAUGUUCUUUCUUUCUUUCUUUCUUUCUUUCUUUCUUUCUUUCU